rnacentral:lncRNA from 1 species
AAGAUUAUAAGAAAAAAGUUCUCUACGACAAGAAGGUCAAGAAAAAGCUUCAACCAACACUCCGCAUGGAUGAGUUCUUUCAUGCAUCUCAAUGUAAAACAAUAAAAGAAAUAUGGGAUACGUUGGAAGUCCCUCAUGAAGGAAUCGCGAAAGUGAAAAGAUCACACACAUUAUCUCAAAAGUAUGAACUGUUCAGGACGAAAUCUGAAGAAUCAAUUCUUGACUUGCAUAAAAAGAUUCAC